GGCGGCUGGACGGGCAGGCGCCUUCUGUGUGACCACUCCCCAUGCAAACCAGGCCUAAGGUCACGUCGCCUCUGGGUUACGCUCAUGGCCACGCCUUUGCUUUCCUCACCUUUUUGGGGACGGAAAGAAAUUAAGCGAACACAAGAUGGACGUGGCAGAGGCGGCGUCGAGUCCCUCUCUUCUCACCUGCCUCGUCAGCGUCCGUCCAGCGGCGCCGUCAGCUGCCUGGCGUCGCUUCCUCGUCACAAAGCCGCUUGCCUACACGUGACUGGCUCGGUGAGGGCAACCAAAAUUGGCUGUCCGGACGUUCUUUGAUUUCCGCUUUCUAAACGGGUUGCGAUUUUCAAGAAUGAAUAAUUUGUA